rnacentral:rRNA from 1 species
AUGUAACAGGUUAAGAACUAUUUAAAGGGGGUACAGCCCCUUUAAAAAAGGACACAACCUCUACCAGGGGAUAACCCCACCAUACACCAAGCCCCGUGGGCCUUAAAGCAGCCACCCCCAAAGAUUGGGUCAAAGCUCUACCAACCAAAAACCCGAAAACUAAUGCGACUCCCUACACUCACAGAAAGCUAACCUAUAAUAAUAGAUGAAUCAAUGCUAGAACGAGUAACCAGGACACCACGUCCCCCCAAGCGCCAGCUUACACACCAUUAACAGUAGGACCUCAAUAACAACACCCCCCCGACCAAACAUUGAACACACCCUGUUAAUCCAACCCAGGGGCGCACAAUGGAGUGAUCAAAGUCUGCAAAAGGAACUCGGCAAGCCCAAGACCCGACUGUUUACCAAAAACAUAGCCUUCAGCCAAACAAGUAUUGAAGGUGACGCCUGCC